rnacentral:rRNA from 1 species
CCUACGGGUGGCAGCAGUGAGGAAUAUUGGUCAAUGGUCGGGAGACUGAACCAGCCAAGCCGCGUGAGGGAUGAAGGUACAGAGUAUCGUAAACCUCUUUUGUCAGGGAACAAAGGCGGGGACGUGUCCCCGGCUGAGUGUACCUGAAGAACAAGCAUCGGCUAACUCCGUGCCAGCAGCCGCGGUAAUACGGAGGAUGCGAGCGUUAUCCGGAUUUAUUGGGUUUAAGGGGUGCGCAGGCGGUCUGUUAAGUCAGCGGUCAAAGCCCGGGGCUCAACCCCGGCCCGCCGUUGAAACUGGCAGGCUCGAGUUGGAGAGAAGUAUGCGGAAUGCGCGGUGUAGCGGUGAAAUGCAUAGAUAUCGCGCAGAACUCCGAUUGCGAAGGCAGCAUGCCGGCUCCACACUGACGCUCAUGCACGAAAGUGUGGGUAUCGAACAGGAUUAGAUACCCUUGUAGUC